rnacentral:rRNA from 1 species
GUCUUAUUGAAAAUAAUUUUAAGUCAAUCUGCUCAAUGAAAUAUUUUUUAAAUAGCUGCAGUAUAACUGACUGUACAAAGGUAGCAUAAUCAAUUGAUUUUUAAAUGAAAUCUGGAAUGAAAGAAUUAAUGAAAUAUAUACUGUCUCAUAUUUAUUUUAUGAAUUUAAAUUUUUAAUAAAAAUGUUAAAAUUAUUUUAUGGGACGAUAAGACCCUAUAGAAUUUUAUAUUAAAUUAUUUUUAUAAUAAAUAUAAAAUUUAAUUUAAUAUUUAAUUGGGAGAAUUAUUAAAUUUAAUAAAUUUUAAUUAAUAAAAACUUAAAUUAAAGAAAAAAUAAUGAUCUUUAAUUUAAAAUUUCAAGAAUAAAUUACCUUAGGGAUAACAGCGUUAUAUUUUUUUAUAGAUCACAUAGAAAAAAAUGAUUGCGACCUCGAUGUUGAAUUAAGAUAAAUUUUAAACGAAGAAGUUUAAUAAUUAAGUCUGUUCGACUUUUAAAAUCUUACAUGAUUUGAGUUCAAAUCGACGUAAGU